CGGUGUUUAACUGGCGUGAUGUGGGACGUCCUACCGGUGGGCUUAGCCUCGCGAGGGGCGGCCCAACUAAUAUCCCGUCGCGGUGCUCUUUACUGAGUGUCGAGUCGGGCCGGUACGUUUACUUUGAACAAAUUAGAGUGCUUAAAGCAGGCUAUCCUCGCCUGAAUACUGCGUGCAUGGAAUAAUGGAAUAGGACCUCGGUUCUAUUUUGUUGGUUUUCGGAACCCCGAGGUAAUGAUUAAUAGGGACAGAUGGGGGCAUUCGUAUUGCGACGUUAGAGGUGAAAUUCUUGGAUCGUCGCAAGACGGACAGAAGCGAAAGCAUUUGCCAAAAAUGUUUUCAUUAAUCAAGAACGAAAGUUAGAGGUUCGAAGGCGAUCAGAUACCGCCCUAGUUCUAACCAUAAACGAUGCCAGCUAGCGAUCCGCCGAAGUUCCUCCGAUGACUCGGCGGGCAGCUUCCGGGAAACCAAAGCUUUUGGGUUCCGGGGGAAGUAUGGUUGCAAAGCUGAAACUUAAAGGAAUUGACGGAAGGGCACCACCAGGAGUGGAGCCUGCGGCUUAAUUUGACUCAACACGGGAAACCUCACCAGGCCCAGACACCGGGAAGGAUUGACAGAUUGAUAGCUCUUUCUUGAUUCGGUGGGUGGUGGUGCAUGGGCCGUUCUUAGUUGGUGGAGCGAUUUGUCUGGUUAAUUCCGAUAACGAACGAGACUCUAGCCUGCUAAAUAGGCGUACCUUAUGGUAUCGCGAAGGCCCCCGGCUUCGGCCGGUGGGUUUUUACUACCAACGUACAAACAAAUCUUUUUAGAGGGACAGGCGG
rnacentral:rRNA from 1 species